GAUGAACGCUGGCGGCGUGCUUAACACAUGCAAGUCGAACGGAGAAAGGGUAGCUUGCUAUCUUUUCUUAGUGGCGGACGGGUGAGUAACGCGCGGGUAACCUGCCCUUUGCAGGGGGAUAACAGUGAGAAAUCACUGCUAAUACCGCAUACCAACUUCUUUCGCAUGAAAGAAGUUUGAAAGAUUUAUCGGCAAAGGAUGGACCCGCGUUGGAUUAGCUAGUUGGUGAGAUAACAGCCCACCAAGGCAACGAUCCAUAGCCGGCCUGAGAGGGUGAACGGCCACACUGGGACUGAGACACGGCCCAGACUCCUACGGGAGGCAGCAGUGGGGAAUAUUGCACAAUGGGCGAAAGCCUGAUGCAGCGACGCCGCGUGAAGGAUGAAGGUCUUCGGAUUGUAAACUUCUAAUCAGCAGGGAAAGAAAGGGCCUAUGGCCUAAUGACGGUACCUGAACUAAGAAGACCCCGGUAACUACGUGCCCAGCAGCCGCGGUAAAAUA
rnacentral:rRNA from 1 species